AUAUUAUAUUAAAUUACAAACUUAUUUGCAUUUAUUAUAAUAUUAAAAAAAUGCACUAUAAUACAACAAAUUACUCCAGCCAAACAUAAGAUUGCACUGCAUAUAUAUAAUGCAAUGCAGUCCCAUAUUAUGAGGGGUGCCAAACACUCCCCUAAGAUAUCUAAUAUUAUUAUUGUCGUCGUCGUCGUCAUCAUCAUCAUCAUCAUUUUUACACAAUACAAGUAAAUAGGAAAUUAGUAAUUAUAAAAUAGCUCAUCCAAUGGAGUUAUGGUUCUAAGGGACUCUCAAAACUAUAGAAUUAUUGUAUAGCUGAAGGGUCAACAGAGCAUGGUUUAAAUUACUUCACCAAUUAUAAGCACAAAUUUACCCUACACUACAAUAAUUAUUAAACGAUGAGUAUUGGGCUCUAACUCACUUCUCCCGUACUGAAUAAAUUAAAGGAGAAUAAUAUAUAAUUUUUUUAAGCAAUUAAUCGUCAUCUAAAAUGAUCUACAAUAAUUUUCCAAACUGUAUUACAUAUAUUUUCUAACACAUGCAACCUCUGUGUGUGUGUAUAUAUAUAUAUAUAUAGAAAUGUAAUAUAGUACCCAUUAUUGCUCAUAUUAUACUGCACGAUAGUUCACAUACUGAGCUUUCAUUGGGAAACACUGGGCUCACAAUAAAGCUCCUCUAAUAUUCCAUAACAUGGGCAACAACACACACUAGAUCAAGGUCAUAACAGACAUAUAUACACACAAUGACACAGCAUUUAUAUUACUGGAAAGUUAUGGGUGUUCGCAGCAACAGAUGCAUUGGGAAUCGAAGGUAAUAAAAGAAUAGGUUGUUGCGGAGGAGUGAACAGUUGGGACACUUCAUCUACGCUUGCCUUCUGCUCACCAAUUAACUUACAAUUUUUAUAAUUACAUAU
rnacentral:lncRNA from 1 species